CUCAGAUAUGUCUUUAUUAGCAGCAUGAAAAAACAGAUUAAUACAGUAAAUUGGUACCACUGUAAAGAUACCCGAAAACGUGGAAGUGACUUUGGAACUGGGUUACAGGCAGAAGUUGGAACAGUUUGGAGGGCUCAGAAGAAAACUGGAAGAUGUGAGAAAGUUUUGAGUUUUCUAGAGACUUGUUGAAUGGCUUUGACUAAAAUGCUGAUAGUGAUAUAGACAAUAAAGUCCAGUCUGGAAUGGUCUCCGAUGCAUGUGAGGAACUUGUUGGGAACCGAAGUAAAGGUGACUCUUGCUAUGUUUUGACAAAGAGUCUGGUGGUAGAGAUUUGUGGAAUUUUGAACUUGAGAGAGAUGAUUUAGGGUAUCUGGCAGAAGAAAUUUCUAAAUGUCAAAGCAUUCAAGAGGAAGCAGAGCAUGAAAGUAUGGAAAAUUUGCAGCCUGAUGAUGCACUAGAAAAGAAAAAACAAUUUUCUGGAGAGAAAUCCAAGCCUGCUGCAGAAAUUUGCAUAACUACCAAGGAGCCAAAUGUUAAUCAUGAUGACAAUGGGGAAAAUGUAUCCAGGGCAUGUCAGAGAUCUUCUUGGCAGCCUUUCCAACACAGGCCCAGAGGUCCAGGAGAAAAAAAUUGGUCUCCUAGACUGGGUCCUAUGCUGAGUGCAGCCUAGGGACUUGGUGCCUUUCCUCUCAGGUACUCCAGCUGUUGCUAAAAGGAGCCAAGGUACAGCUUGGGCCAUGGCUUCAGAGAGUGCAAGCUCCAAGCUUUCACAGCUUCUAUGUAGUGUUGAGCCU
rnacentral:lncRNA from 1 species